CUGAUCAGAAACCAUUAUUUUCUCAACAUCUAAAACAAUGGAAAAGAUAUCAAUGAAGUUUGCUCUUGUUAUUUUCUUAGUUGCUGCAUCCGUGGUGAGUAUUGAGGCAACACGGUUAUUAACCGAAGAAGCUCUUGAGACUGUUUUCCUUGGUGAAUCUUUGCCGCAUGGUGAGGAAAAAAAUCAUUUUGGAUCUCUCUUGCACUGCCAGAAAGGGUGGCAUGUGGGAUGUUAUACCGUUCCUCCUGCUGAUUAUGUAACAUGUACUUGUUUUCACGACUAAUCUGAUCCUUCUUAAUCGAAUCGUCAAAGAAUAAUGUGCUUUUCUAAUAUUAAUGAAAAACUGGGCCAGUUAUGUUCUAUCA